GAUGAACGCUGGCGGCGUGCCUAAUACAUGCAAGUCGAGCGAAUGGAUUAAGAGCUUGCUCUUAUGAAGUUAGCGGCGGACGGGUGAGUAACACGUGGGUAACCUGCCCAUAAGACUGGGAUAACUCCGGGAAACCGGGGCUAAUACCGGAUAACAUUUUGAACCGCAUCGUUCGAAAUUGAAAGGCGGCUUCUGCUGUCACUUAUGGAUGGACCCGGGUCGCAUUAGCUAGUUGGUGAGGUAACGGCUCACCAAGGCAACGAUGCGUAGCCGACCUGAGAGGGUGAGCGGCCACACUGGGACUGAGACACGGCCCAGACUCCUCCGGGAGGCAGCAGUAGGGAAUCUUCCGCAAUGGACGAAAGUCUGACGGAGUAACGCCGAGUGAGUGAUGAAGGCUUUCGGGUCGUAAAUCUCUGUUGUUAGGGAAGAACAAGUGCUAGUUGAAUAAGCUGGCACCUUGACGGUACCUAACCAGAAAGCCACGGCUAACUACGUGCCAGCAGCCGCCGUAA
rnacentral:rRNA from 1 species